CCUACGGGGGGCAGCAGUGAGGAAUAUUGGUCAAUGGACGAGAGUCUGAACCAGCCAAGUAGCGUGAAGGAUGACUGCCCUAUGGGUUGUAAACUUCUUUUAUAUGGGAAUAAAAUGUUCCACGUGUGGGAUUUUGUAUGUACCAUAUGAAUAAGGAUCGGCUAACUCCGUGCCAGCAGCCGCGGUAAUACGGAGGAUCCGAGCGUUAUCCGGAUUUAUUGGGUUUAAAGGGUGCGUAGGCGGACUGUCAAGUCAGCGGUAAAAUACGGGGGCUCAACAUCCGCCCGCCGUUGAAACUGACGGUC
rnacentral:rRNA from 1 species